AAGUCGAACGAAGUCUUCGGACUUAGUGGCGCACGGGUGAGUAUCAUGUGGGAAUCUACCUAAAGGUUCGGAAUAACUGCGGGAAACUGUAGCUAAUACCGGAUGUGUCUGUAAAGAGAAAGAUUUAUCGCCUUUAGAUGAGCCCGCACUAGAUUAGCUUGCUGGUGAGGUAACUGUUCCACCAAGGCUACGAUCUAUAGCUGAUUUGAGAGGAUGAUCAGCCACACUGGGACUGAGACACGGCCCAGACUCCUACGGGAGGCAGCAGUAGGGAAUAUUGGACAAUGGGGGAAACCCUGAUCCAGCAAUGCCGCGUGAGUGAAGAAGGCCCUCGGGUUGUAAAACUCUUUCAUCAAUGAUGAUAAUGACAUUAGUUGAAGAAGAAGCUCCGGCUAACUCCGUGCCAGCAGCCGCGGUAAUACGGAGGGGGCUAGCGUUGUUCGGAAUUACUGGGCGUAAAGCGUAUGUAGGCGGAUCAAAAAGUUAGAUGUGAAAUCCCUGGGCUCAACCCAGGAACUGCAUUUAAAACUAGUGAUCUAGAAUUUGGUAGGGGUUAGUAGAAUUUCCAGUGUGGAGGUGAAAUUCGUAGAUAUUGGAAAGAAUACCAGUGGCGAAGGCGACUGACUGGGCCAUUUUUGACGCUGAGAUACGAAAGCGUGGGUAGCAAACAGGAUUAGAUACCCUGGUAGUCCACGCAGUAAACGAUGAGUGCUAGUCGCUGGAUCAAUAGGUUCAGUGUCGAAGCUAACGCAUUAAGCACUCCGCCUGGGAAGUACGGUCGCAAGAUUAAAACUCAAAUAAAUUGACGGGGGCCCGCACAAGCGGUGGAGCAUGUGGUUUAAUUCGAAGCAACGCGAAGAACCUUACCAGACCUUGACAUGGUGUGUAUGAACUACAGAAUCGUAGUUCUUCAGUUCGGCUGGCACACACACAGGUGCUGCAUGGCUGUCGUCAGCUCG
rnacentral:rRNA from 1 species